AAACUCACCGUUUUGAUUGAAACGAAUUCGAUCCUUCUCCCUUCUCCCUAACCCUAAUACCAUCGACAUCCCUCCCUUCCUGAAACCAGCGAUGGAGACCAUCACGAAACGGAAGGAAGCACACACACGAAGGGGACAAAAGAGAUUUCAAUUUUCGCAACUGCUUUCAAUGCUACCACAGAAGUUUGAUGUCCAACAGACUGGUGCUACAAAAGGAAAGGAUAACAGUAAAAAGGAAGCUGCAUUACGACCCCUGGUUCCAGCCCCUGUUUUAAACUAAAAGGAGAGGAUUUACAAUGAAGCAAAAGCCACCUUGUGGAAACCUGCUCCAAUCUUUGACUUAAACCAGAAGGCUAGAACUUUCUGUGGAAAGGAAGCUGCUUUGCAAGGUUCUGCACCAAUAUUUGACAUGAGCCAAAAGGAAAGGAUCUACAGUGGAAAAGAUGCUACCAAACGACACAGUACUCCAGUUUUUGACUUGAACCAGAUUUUGACAGAUGAGGAAUUGCUUCAUAAGAGGGUGAAUGAGAUUGAGAAGAGAGAGAUGGUGCUUUUGGACCAACAAGUUGAAAUAAGGCGUUCACGCACUCUACGCCGGCUGUAUUGGGCUUUUGUAGUUGUUAUGUCAUGUUGCUUAGUAGUAUAUAAGUGAUUUUGGAACUCUGUAUUGGGCUUUUGUAGCUGUUGUGUCAUGUUCCUUUUUUUUUUUUUUGUAAAUUAUCAGAAACAUGUACAAAAAUCAAUGUGACUCAUGUUCCUUUUUUUUUGUAGAUUAUUAGGAACAAGUCCAAAAUUCAAUGUGACUCAUUUUCCUUUUUUUUUUUGUAAAUUAUUAGAAACCUGUGCAAAAUUCAAUGUAACUCAUGUUC